CUGAUUAGCUACCCGGGUCGGUGGCGAGGUUCGGCGCAGUCGCUGGCUGUGCAGGGUGACGGUGGUGGUGUCUUUCCGCGAGCUCUUACAGUCUUGUUUAGCCUUCACUCGGUCUGGAGCGUGUGGCACCGCAGGGUCAGUCGCGCAGAUUCAUAUAAUUAAGGCCAAGGAGGGGUCACCAAACUUUUUUGGUGUCUCUCCCUGGGAAGUAACGUGUGUCGUGCAGUUUGGAGAUGUGUACCGCUACGUCUGACAUCCCAGAUGCUGUUUGAGUACAUUUGGCGUCUGUGAGCAUUUUGGGGAGUUUUUGGUGAAUGGGAUAUUUUAUCUGGGUGGGUUUUGUGAGCCAUGGUACAAAGUCUGUAGGGAUUUGUGUCCUUGUAGACCUGGGUGUGCAUUUUCUGAGCUUUUGGGCAUUAGAGUCACUGGGUGUUAGACCCUUAUGUAGAUGUCUGUACCCCAGCGUGUGAGGCCUUUGAACUGUUGUGAUUCUGGGUCCCAAGGUGUGAUGUCUCUGAGCUGCUUUAGGAAGGGGUUUGUCUAAAGGUGUAAAGUAUCUGAGCUGUUUGGGGUCUUGUGUGUCAGUAGUAAAAUCUCUUACCAUUUUGGCUGUGAGGUCUCUGUCCAGGAACUGAGGGAGUUGGAAACCCGGCAGGUAUGAUUCCGAAGCCUGGAACCCGACGUGCUGAUGGUGCGUUGUUGAGGGUGUCACUUGUCUCCUGGAGUCUCAGUACGUAUCAUAAUUAAUCAAAUGGGGCCAGUGCCCACCUUGGAGGGUACCUGUGCAUGUUAACAGUGUGUGUAAAGGGCCCGGCUCCCAGCUAUGGUUCAGCAAAUGUUUUCUGAGCACCUGCCAUGUACGUGAGUACUAUUCGAGGAGUUUGUGACAGGACAAAACUGACAAAGUCUCAUUUCAUAGAGUUGGUCAAUAAGUAAAUCAAGGGUGGCAGGUGCUAUGUAUGAAGAAAGAUAGGGCUGGACCAGGGGAAAGGGUAUGUGGAGAUGAUGUUAUUAUUUUAUUCAAGGUAAUCAGGGAAAGUCUCCCUGAAGGAUGACGAAUGAGCAGAGACCUGGAGGAAGUGAGGGAGCACGCCGUGGGAUUUCCUGAAGGAAGAGCAUUCCAGGCAGAGGGAACAGCAGGUGCCACAGUCCUGGCGGGGCAGUCUACUUGGCAUGCUCCUGGAUAUCAAGGAGUCCUGUGAUGCACUGGGUCCGGCACGUAGCACUCAUUGAAAGGUGUCUGGUGCUGCUCUCUGUGUUUGUCCCACAAUCUGUGGUCACCCCCAUUUCACAGAUGAAGGACCCGAGGCUCCAAGAUGUGCCCUGCACCUUCUCUCCUGCUUACACCUGAAAUUACUGAAGAGGGGUGAAACUUUCUAGUCCAUCAUGAGAGACAGAGGGCCUGAGUGUAAGAGCUGCAGGGAGGACACCAUCCACACUGAAUGUCAGCCAACCAGUGGAGAUCAGUUAUAAUAUGGGAAUCAUGCCCCUCAUGACAUUGCUACUCUUGAUGGAGGGCAGGACUUAAGAAUGAGAAAGGAACUGGGGCAAAGGAGAGAGGCAGGAAGGGGAAGCUGGAGGACAGUGAGAAAAAAACCCACUGGCUUCAUCAUAUUGCUUGGAUUUGGCCCAGUUCACCUUGAUUAACUGAUAUAUUCACUUUUCCCCUGUCCCUACCCUUUCUUUCCCUUCCCUUCUCUUCUCUUUUGUGCCUGAGCAGUUCAGUCCUAAAGCCAUUAGGUGUUGCCGGGCAAGGCAAGUAUAUGCGUGUAGGGGCAUCCCAAUUUGGGAGGUCAGAGCCCAAGGUGGUAAGGAGGAUAUCCCUGGGGGUUCUCUGGGGAGGUGGCUAACUGGCUCAGGGAUUCAGGCUUGAGUGAGGUGUGGAAGUCAAGGGCAGGGGAUGGUUCAGCAUAGCACGUGGGGAGGACCUCUUUGUGGAGGAGGGAUGGCUUAUAUGCAUUGGGAUUUGUCAACUCAGUGAAUAUAUAAGGAUGGUGGGAGCCAUGUCUGUCACUUUUGGAAGAGGGAAUUUCCAAUAUGGAAAGGAGGUAAACUGGAACAACUUCUGAGGAGUUCUACUGGAAUUAAAGGUCUCCGUGAGAACUCCUGGUUUUCAAUAGGCCUGGGGGGAAAGGAUGCAAACCUUACAAAAGGUGAACUCUGGGUCGGCCAAAAAAUGUUAAAAGUUUGACUUGCUCUCUCCUACAAGCGGAAGAAAGCAAGUAAAAUCAGGUUCUGGGCUGGAGAAAGCUUCAGAUAAACUAGAGGCAAGAAGGGGAAAAAGGCCUGCAGGCUUUUCUUCAACUUGGCGGCGGCUGCUGCUGCUGCUGCUGCUGCUGCUGCAGCCCCUCCCAGCACUCGCGCCCGAGCUCCCCGGCCGCUGUGCGGUACCCUGGGAUACAUGUAUGCCUCGGAAUUACCCUUCUUGUGUGUGAGCCCUGAAUAUCCCGACGCAGCCUCAGCCUGGACGAGUAGUGACCAGAGUAUGCUGUGCCUGAAUUGGUGCCUCAGGUGCCUCAGCUACAAAAGGUUCAUACAAAAAACUAAGCAGCAAGGUUCCUGGCUUUCUAAGUUAGACCUUCAUGGUUAAUGACACCUGUAUUUAAAUGGCUGAGUCCUGGAACCCUAAGGGAUGUAACUGACAUCAGUACUGCAGUGUAGGCUGGUGUCACUGCGCUGCCUGGGUCCUAAGACCUGUGGCAUUCCCCUCCCUCCCUCUGCAGACUGACAUCCUUCUCGCUCGUCAUUAAGACACUGGGUCCAGUCCUUCACCCGUUACGUCAGCUCCACAAGUGUGGACUGACUUUCUACCGUGUCUCAGGUCCUCUGCCCUGAGGACACCAGGAUGAACGGGAUGUGUUUCCAGCCUUCUGAGAAGGAGUUAAAAGUCUGGUGAGGGAGACAGACAUGGAAGCAAAACCUCGGUGCCUCAAAGACAAUGGGCUUAUCUGGCUUUGUUCAGCAACCCAUGGCAGAUCACACUAUGAGCAUUUACCACGUAAUUUUUCCCAUCCAUUAACAGCAUAUCCUGAAGAUCCGUCUAGUCAGUACAGCUGGAUUCCCCUCAUUCCUGUAGGUGUGUACAACCUCAGCUACCAAGCGACACUGGUGUGUUGCAUGAAGCUCAAGGCCAGUAAGAGAAUUGCCUUCAGUAUGUGUUCUCUAAAACACUCAAGGAUUCUUUGUAAGUUUCCAGAGAAAGCAACAUUCAGGCUUCCCUUAAUUCACGGGGAAAUUACAAUUAUGGAAAAUCCACUUUAUUUAACUCUCUGCUUAAAAGUGUUUGCCUCCCUGUAACCCUCAGCCCACAGAUGCCGGUAGCUCCUCCCAAUCAUUUCAGCACCCAGACCUACCCUCUGAAACUUCCUGUCAGCUUCCACCUACUUACCAGGUGCACCAUUGUGGUAGUAAACCACAUAACAUACUGGUUAUCAACCACGAGAAUAGGAUUUUGUGAAGGUAUCCCCAGACCUCUUAUUCCCAUCAAAAGGAAAGGAAUGAUAUGGUCCACGUCAGGGUUUGGUCAGGGGAAGUAGCAUGGAGUAGGACACAGGACUCCCCAGGAAGGAUUCCAGACACCUUCCUCGUCUGUCUUGCUUUCUGUGACAAGAUAAUGGUUCAGGGACAGACGGGGUGUGAGGUAAGGCUUCGUUUCCAAGGUCAAUCACUGCCGUGGGCAUCAGUGUUUAGGAUGGUUCUGUGGUCGUCAUGGCUCUUGGCUCCCGGGUCUGGGGUCCUUCUCAGAGAGGACGAGCCCUCUCCAGGCUGCGUCACCAGAGUCACGGGCCAGGCGAGGGCUUUAAGCUACUAGGGAAGGCUGUCUGCUUCGGCACGGCAGAUCAGAUCAGAGGAGGACAGCUGAGAGGAGAAGAGGGGAGAAGAUCUCCUCAGGUCAGGGGCAGGUGUCUGAUCGGUGAAGGGAAGACAUUUUUCCUAAAUUCUGGUUGCUCUGGGCUUGUGUGGCAUGGAGGGAGUGAGGGUGCAAGAGAGAAGCAGAGGCUGACUGGAGGUGUGGAGAAUAGAUCAUAUAACCUCAUAUCGUCUGUGUCCCACGGCCCCCGAGAAAAGCCCAGGCCAUGUGGGAUCUCAAAGGUCAUCUCCUCUCACCACCUCCAUCCACUGGCCAUGAAGAGAAUGGAUCUGAGAUAAACUGAAGCCUCAGAGAGACAGGCCAGUGGGGUGGUGAUGUCUUCUCGGAAGAUCCACUGCCCUGCCCGUGGUUUGACUCUCACGCUGUGUCCUUUACGUUCUCUCUCCUGUGCUCUCAGAUGAGGAAGCUUGAGACAUGUAGAGGUUAACGGGUGAAGGAACUUGCCCAAAGUCACCUGGCCGGCAAGAACUGAGUCAGAUUGCUACGCAGGCCUGAAAGAAACAGAGAGGUGUGGUAUCUGACCCCCAAAUCUGGAAUACACUGCAGUGUCCAGCGUCCUCUGGAUCAAAAGGCAAGUGAACAUGUCCAUCGGCAUGAAUCAGAUUACCAUGGAUCUGUGUAUGGAUUGAGCAUGAUGUCUCCUAAGUGUGUGAAAGACCACGGGGUGUCGUGUCAAUAUGCACACGUCACAGAGAACAGUUCCUGGUCCAUGUCAAGCUCUAUACAUGUCUUUGCUUCUACCGACAUCAGUAUCAGCAUCCUCAUCCUCAUCAUUAUGGGAAGCAGCAUAACCAUACUAUAAUGAUAAACAGAACAACAGACACAAAAGUAUGAAGACAUUACCUCCCCCCAUCUCCUAAUUUUUAAAAAUGCAGAGAAAAAACCUGGAAGGCAGUAGACCACAUAUUAAGUGUUUUUCUCUUGAGUGUGAAAUUCUAGAUAAUGCCCAAAUAACCUUUUUUUUUUUUUUUUU